UGGGGAAUAUUGCACAAUGGGCGCAAGCCUGAUGCAGCAACGCCGCGUGAACGAUGAAGGUCUUCGGAUCGUAAAGUUCUGUUGCAGGGGAAGAUAAUGACGGUAACCGGAGAAGAAGCCCCGGCUAACUUCGUGCCAGCAGCCGCGGUAAUACGAAGGGGGCUAGCGUUGUUCGGAUUUACUGGGCGUAAAGCGCACGUAGGCGGACUAUUAAGUCAGGGGUGAAAUCCCGGGGCUCAACCCCGGAACUGCCUUUGAUACUGGUAGUCUUGAGUUCGAGAGAGGUGAGUGGAAUUCCGAGUGUAGAGGUGAAAUUCGUAGAUAUUCGGAGGAACACCAGUGGCGAAGGCGGCUCACUGGACCAUUACUGACGCUGAGGUGCGAAAGCGUGGGGAGCAAACAGG
rnacentral:rRNA from 1 species